GGUUAUUUUUAUUUACUUUUUAUUUUGAGUCUUUAGAGCUCACACUUUCAAGGUUUACUUCAUAAACACUAGAAAUUUACUUAAAAAAAAAAAGCAGAGAGUCUCCCUUAAUCACAUGACUCCAAGAGCUUGGGCCUUAACAAAAACACUGAUUAUCAUAAAUCUCAUGAGAGUUGGCAACUCAGAGCUGAUGGAGGUGGAGAGUACGCAGCAUUUCCCAGGAGACACUCAGCAUUUUGCAGAAUUGGGCCCUUAAUCCUUCAUUAGCAGCAUGAACACCUAAUUCACUCACUAAUUAUUUUGAAACAAACAAAACAGAUGAGUGCGGGUGUAAUUUGGCUUGAGUCAGCAGGGAAACUUUGCGCCUUUGGAUGCAGAUUCCCUCUUCCAUCGCUGUGCAAAUCACAGUGAAUCUUCUAAGAUGCCCUGCAGACAGUGCUAAUCCUCAGCAGAAGGCGUGGUCAUAGGAGCCGAUGGAUAUGCCAGACCAGUAUGGUACACAGAUUUAUUGGGACCUUUGACAUUCCAGGAUAGAAUUUUCAUAUUCAAGUCUAAAACUGACUGGCUAGUGCGUCCAAAGGAGAUGAAGCUCGGUAACAGAAUAACAAAUAUAUUUCUGAGAGAAUCCUUUACAAUGUAAUGAUGAUUAUUUUGAGAACCAGGCAGGGUAGAGAGUAAAUGGUAAUUCUUCCAGGAUUCUUUGAUGGUAAAAUAACAAUCUGGUCAACAUUUUCAAAAUAUUGGGUCCUUCUUUGCAUGCCUGAAUCUGUGAGUCUAAGGUCAUCACGAGGAUUUUGCCCAUAGUGCAUUUUCAAAACAAGUGCUAAUCCACAAAAGAGGUAUCCACAACUGGUUCUGUCCCCCACAAAAAUAAGUUGUAGGAUGUAAGUGUGCAAAUGAAAUCUUCAAAACAAACAAACAAAAAACCCAAAACCAACAACAAAACUUUCCUUCCAGACCGCUUAAACCCAGGCCUCAGAAAAAUUAGGAUUUUACAAAGUACAGUGAAAAUAGUGUAUAAUCCCUCUACAAUGUCCCUGUGUUCUGGAUUAGAAGAAGGGAGGCAAAAUUCCAUGGGGGAAACCGACACGUAGGAGAGCUAGAUAUUCCAUUGUGGGCCUUGCGGCGGGAUGCCUUCUAGUUAAACACGAGUCCCCUAAACUCCCCAUAAUUGUCCAAAUCACCAUUUAUAAUCAUCCGAACAACAGGUUUACAAACCAAAACAGCAAAUCCUGAUGAAUAAUCUGAGGAGGACAAUUCAUUACGUGUAGCUUUCUUUUUGCUGUGCAGCUGCAGGAGAAUUCAUGAAAGAUUUCCAACAGACAUGAUUCUAUUCCAUCCGUUCUAGGAGCUAGCGAGUGAACCCAGAGAGGCGACUGGCUCAGACUCACAAUGAUAAAUAUGUCAAGCGUAUCUGACAUUAACACCACGAACUGACAGCACAAAGGCAGCAUCUGGAUAGCAUAGCCUGUGGCUCUCGAGUCACGGCUGGUGGACUUGUGGUACAUUCAGAUAUAUUCAUUAAAACACUAAUCAAGCAGAAGCUCAUUUGUGGAAUUGUCUUGGAAUAAAAAAAAUGGCCAAAGUAAAACUGCUGCAGUCCUGAACUACUCCUGCGAUAAAAGAGAUUUGACAGCCCAAUCCAGUUAACUCCAUCAUUGCUUUUUGACUGCAAAUACGUUUUUGUCAGUAUGUAGUGAAACGUUAAGACUCUACCACCCAGGUACAAUAUAUCAGGCUACUGCAGAGAACAGGAGUGUAUUUGCUUUGACAUGUUGUACCUGGUUUCUUGUUCAGCAAAAAAAAGGAAAAAGAAAAGAAAAGGAAAAAAAAAGGUGUGUGGUAUUACACAAGCUUGGAGGACUGAGGUUGUAUUAAUAUGCACACAUAUAUACAUAUAAACAUACUUAUGUAUUUAUAAGAAUAUGUGGGACAGAUCCUCAGCUGGUGUCAAUAGAGCAACACAAUUAUUGACAGAUAAGACUCUGGCCAUGUGUAUGUGUGUAAAUAUUAUAUAAUAAUAUAACAGCUCACACACACACACACGUAUAUAUAUACAAAAUACAUGCAGGUUAUUCCACGCUCAUAUAUAUCUAGAUAUAUAUGGAAUAAACUGCAUGCAUUUUGUACCUUUAAUCUUCUUAACCCUGCCCAGUAAUCUAACUCUGUUGGGACUAUUGCUUAAA